rnacentral:lncRNA from 10 species
CUUUAUCAAAUAAUUUGAUAGACAUUGUUAUAUCCAGCAACUUUUGCUAAUACAAUGCACUUGGAAUCUCAUCUGUGUUUGAAGUUUGCACCGACAUCUGCAGAAACUCAGAGAGAAGCUCCCUAGGGAUCAUCUCUGGUAUUUAUGACCUGCAUCUCCACGUCGUUUUGCAGAAGUGAAAGCUGCACUCGACCAUUCCUUUUGUUGGUAACUCAAGCCAACAGCCCCUAAUGGCUGAUUGGAUGAAGGAGCAAUAACAGCCUCAAUAUAGUGGGGUGAGGUUCUGAAAUCAAAGACUGAUGUAAAAGUGGCAAAUGGUCAAAAUACAGCCCCUUAAAUUGUCCAUGCAAUAAAUUAUGAUGUCCGCCCAGAAUUGGAACAGCUCAUUAUUUUACGGCUAAGCACCAGAUAAAAUAGUAGGGGACUUGCAGGCUAGGUCAUUCUUGCAUUGCUAUAAAGAAAUACCUGAGACUGGGUAAUUUAUUUAAAAAAAAAAAGGUUUAAUUGGCUUACGUUUCUGCAGGCUGCACAGGUAUGACACCAACAUCUACUGAGCUUCUGCGGGAAGCCUCAGGAAGCUUACAAGCAUGGCAGAAGUUGAAAGGAGAAGCCAGGCUGGACACGGUGGCUCAUGCCUGUAAUCCCAGCA